GCAGAGCCAUGGCCCUCUUCUUUGUUCUCUGCUGGAUCCAAGGCUAUUCCCAACAGAAGAGCUUGAACAAUGCUGCAUUUGCAUCAGGUUCAAAUGAGCGAGAGGAACAUUUGGCUAAAAUAUUUGAUGAAAUUCUACUGCAGGUGUUUCCAAAGUUUCCGUAUGACCCAUCAUUUAACGAAGCAACAGCAGUCAGAUCCAUUACAAAGACAGACAUGAGAAAAGGAACCAGCAUUGCUUGGAAUUCUCCUAAACCAGAAUAUUUCCUUGGCAGUGUGGACAAAAUUCCUGAUAAAGAUCACCUUUCAGAGGAGAAGAAUUUUAAAGAAUCCUGUCUGUUCGACAGGGAUUUAAGAGAGCAGUUAACUACUAUAGAUAAAGAAACACUUCAAGGAGCAGCUAAACCAGAUCUCCUCUGGCAAACACGACAUAUAAUAUUUUUAUAAUGGAUGGAAAGACAUGGUGGCACAAUUCUGAAGAAAAAAAUUUCACAAAACUUGCAAAAAAACAGAAACAGUUGAAGAGCAGCUCCUGUGUCUAAGCCAGGUCGUGGGGCCGUCAAACCAGGACUUGAAACCACAAUGCGAGGACAUUCUCCAUCUGCGCACCACAGGGAGGCAAUUCCAUUUCUGCCCGGGAGGUGUAUUCUACAAAAACGUCUGCUUCCCAUCCCAAUUUGAAUGGACCAAGAAAAACUGCUU
rnacentral:lncRNA from 1 species